rnacentral:rRNA from 1 species
UAAGGAAUAUUGGACAAUGGUCGCAAGACUGAUCCAGCCAUGCCGCGUGCAGGAAGACGGCCCUAUGGGUUGUAAACUGCUCUUGUACCAGAGAAAACCUAUCUACGUGUAGAUAGCUGAUAGUAUGGUAAGAAUAAGCAUCGGCUAACUUCGUGCCAGCAGCCGCGGUAAGACGAAGGAUGCAAGCGUUAUCCGGAUUCAUUGGGUUUAAAGGGUGCGUAGGCGGGCUUGUAAGUCAGUGGUGAAAUCUCUCAGCUUAACUGAGAAACUGCCAUUGAUACUGCAGGUCUAGAGUAUAGAUGACGUUGGCGGAAUAUGACAUGUAGUGGUGAAAUACUUAGAUAUGUCAUAGAACACCGAUUGCGAAGGCAGCUAACGAAACUAUAACUGACGCUGAGGCACGAAAGUGCGGGGAUCAAACA